GUGUCAGCCGCCGCGGUAAUACGUAGGGGGCAAGCGUUGUCCGGAUUUAUUGGGCGUAAAGAGCGUGUAGGCGGCCAGAUAGGUCUGUUGUGAAAACUCGAGGCUCAACCUCGAGACGCCGAUGGAAACCAUCUGGCUAGAGUCCGGAAGAGGAGAGUGGAAUUCCUGGUGUAGCGGUGAAAUGCGCAGAUAUCAGGAAGAACACCCGUGGCUAAGGCGGCUCUCUAGUACGGUACUGACGCUGAGACGCGAAAGCGUGGGGAGCGAACAGGAUUAGAAACCCGAGUAGUCC
rnacentral:rRNA from 1 species